rnacentral:rRNA from 1 species
UGGUUGGGGAUGGGCUCGCGGCCUAUCAGCUUGUUGGUGAGGUAAUGGCUCACCAAGGCGUCGACGGGUAGCCGGCCUGAGAGGGUGACCGGCCACACUGGGACUGAGACACGGCCCAGACUCCUACGGGAGGCAGCAGUGGGGAAUAUUGCACAAUGGGCGGAAGCCUGAUGCAGCAACGCCGCGUGAGGGAUGACGGCCUUCGGGUUGUAAACCUCUUUUAGCAGGGAAGAAGCGAGAGUGACGGUACCUGCAGAAAAAGCACCGGCUAACUACGUGCCAGCAGCCGCGGUAAUACGUAGGGUGCAAGCGUUAUCCGGAAUUAUUGGGCGUAAAGAGCUCGUAGGCGGUUUGUCGCGUCUGCUGUGAAAUCCCGAGGCUCAACCUCGGGUCUGCAGUGGGUACGGGCAGACUAGAGUGCGGUAGGGGAGAUUGGAAUUCCUGGUGUAGCGGUGGAAUGCGCAGAUAUCAGGAGGAACACCGAUGGCGAAGGCAGAUCUCUGGGCCGUAACUGACGCUGAGGAGCGAAAGGGUGGGGAGCAAACAGGCUUAGAUACCCUGGUAGUCCACCCCGUAAACGUUGGGAACUAGUUGUGGGGUCCAUUCCACGGAUUCCGUGACGAAGCU